CCUACGGGUGGCUGCAGUGAGGAAUAUUGGUCAAUGGGCGCGAGCCUGAACCAGCCAUGUCGCGUGAAGGAUGACUGCCUUACGGGUUGUAAACUUCUUUUUUAAAGGAAUAAAGUGAGGCACGUGUGCCUUUUUGUAUGUCCUUUAUGAAUAAGGAUCGGCUAACUCCGUGCCGGCAGCCGCGGUAAUACGGAGGAUCCGUGCGUUAUCCGGAUUUAUUGGGUUUAAGGGGAGCGUAGAUGGGUUGUUAAGUCAGUUGUGAAAGUUUGCGGCUCAACCGUAAAAGUGCAAUUGAUACUGGCAGUCUUGAGUGCAGAUGAGGUAGGCGGAAUUCGUGGUGUAGCGGUGAAAUGCUUAGAUAUCACGAAGAACUCCGAUUGCGAAGGCAGCUCACUAAACUGCCACUGACAUUGAUGCUCGAAAGUGUGGGUAUCAAACAGGAUUAGAUACCCUGGUAGUC
rnacentral:rRNA from 1 species